AAAAUUUUUUUCGUAUAUUUAGUGCUUAUACCUGAGCAGGAUGAAGCCAAGGGAAAAAUCUGGUGAAAGUCGGAAGCAAUUAUGACCUGCAAAUCGAUCGUCUGACUUUAGUACAGAGACGUAAGACUAAUCGAACAAUCUAAUGGCUGGUUUCCUCUGAAGUUCCUCAGCAUAGCUGGUGUAUAUAAUGAAGCUGUUAUUUUCGGUAAAGCUAAUGAUUAAAAGAAUUGUGGGAUGAAACGUCGUCAACCUAUUCUCAAACUUUCAAUGAUUUUGACGUCUUACUUGUUUAAAUGAUGCGUAGACAUUGAAUGAGUUCUCCAUGCAGACAAUUUUUGAUAAGCAAAUUUGGUGCUGUGAAAUGAACCAAAUGUUGAGUUAAUUAUUUAUUAUUUUCGUCAAAUUGUAGUUUUUUUUUUAAAUAGAUUUGAUUGUUAUCUUAACUGCAUACCAUUUUGUUGCUGA
rnacentral:ncRNA from 1 species